CACCACCCGUCACACCCUGGGAAUAGGUUUCGCCCGAAGCAUCGGACCAAUGAUCACCCAUGACUUCUGUGUACCACUAGUGCCACAACAGCUUUUGGUGGUCUUAUUGGCGCCUACCACGGUGGGGUCUUCGACUGGGGUGAAGUCGUAACAAGGUAGCCGUAGGGGAACCUGUGGCUA
rnacentral:rRNA from 11 species